rnacentral:rRNA from 1 species
UACGUAGGGUGCAAGCGUUGCCCGGAUUUAUUGGGCGUAAAGGGCGCGUAGGCGGCUGUGCACGUCCGUUGUGAAAUCGCCCGGCUCAACUGGGCGGGGUCAGCGGAUACGGCACAGCUCGAGCAAGCUAGGGGGCAAUGGAAUUCCCGGUGUAGUGGUGGAAUGCGUAGAUAUCGGGAGGAACACCAGUGGCGAAGGCGACUUCCUGGCCUGUUCUUGACGCUGAGGCGCGAAAGCUAGGGGAGCAAACAGG